AGCAAAUCUCAAAAAGCCGUCCCAGUUCGGAUCGCAGGCUGCAACCCGCCUGCGUGAAGUUGGAAUCGCUAGUAAUCGCGGAUCAGCAUGCCGCGGUGAAUACGUUCCCGGGCCUUGUACACACCGCCCGUCACACCAUGAGAGUCGGGAACACCCGAAGUCCGUAGCCUAACCGCAAGGGGGGCGCGGCCGAAGGUGGGUUCGAUAAUUGGGGUGAAGUCGUAACAAGGUAGC
rnacentral:rRNA from 1 species